GCCCAGGUAGCUCAGUUGGUAAAGCAUUAUGCUCCUAACCUAAUGCUCCAGGGUUCGAGCCCCUCUCUGGGCA